GACGGAGGAUGCAAGUGUUAUCCGGAAUCACUGGGCGUAAAGCGUCUGUAGGUGGUCAAUAAGUCAACUGUUAAAUCUUGAGGCUCAACCUCAAAAUCGCAGUCGAAACUAUUAGACUAGAGUAUAGUAGGGGUAAAGGGAAUUUCCAGUGGAGCGGUGAAAUGCGUAGAGAUUGGAAAGAACACCGAUGGCGAAGGCACUUUACUGGGCUAUUACUAACACUCAGAGACGAAAGCUAGGGUAGCAAAUGGG
rnacentral:rRNA from 1 species